rnacentral:rRNA from 1 species
UGGGGAAUAUUGGACAAUGGGCGAAAGCCUGAUCCAGCCAUGCCGCGUGUGUGAAGAAGGCCUUUUGGUCGUAAAGCACUUUAAGUGGGGAGGAAAAGCUUAUGGUUAAUACCCAUAAGCCCUGACGUUACCCACAGAAUAAGCACCGGCUAACUCUGUGCCAGCAGCCGCGGUAAUACAGAGGGUGCAAGCGUUAAUCGGAAUUACUGGGCGUAAAGCGCGCGUAGGUGGUUAUUUAAGUCAGAUGUGAAAGCCCCGGGCUUAACCUGGGAACUGCAUCUGAUACUGGAUAACUAGAGUAGGUGAGAGGGGAGUAGAAUUCCAGGUGUAGCGGUGAAAUGCGUAGAGAUCUGGAGGAAUACCGAUGGCGAAGGCAGCUCCCUGGCAUCAUACUGACACUGAGGUGCGAAAGCGUGGGUAGCAAACAGGAUUAGAUACCCUGGUAGUCCACGCCGUAAACGAUGUCUACCAGUCGUUGGGUCUUUUAAAGACUUAGUGACGCAGUUAACGCAAUAAGUAGACCGCCUGGGGAGUACGGCCGCAAGGUUA